rnacentral:rRNA from 1 species
GACGGAGGAUGCAAGUGUUAUCCGGAAUCACUGGGCGUAAAGCGUCUGUAGGUGGUUUAAAAAGUCUACUGUUAAAGCUUGAAGCUUAACUUCAAAAAUGCCGUAGAAACUUUUAAACUUGAGUAUGGUAGGGGUAGAGGGAAUUUCCAGUGGAGCGGUGAAAUGCGUAGAUCUUGGAAAGACCACCAAUGGCGAAGGCACUCUACUGGGCCAUUACUGACGCUAAGAGACGAAAGCUAGGGGAGCAAAUGGG